rnacentral:rRNA from 1 species
GACGGAGGGUGCUAGCGUUGUUCGGAAUUACUGGGCGUAAAGGGCGCGUAGGCGGCCGGGUAAGUCGGGUGUGAAAGCCCGGGGCUCAACCCCGGAACGGCACCCGAGACUGCCGGGCUCGAGACCGGGAGAGGAGGGUGGAAUCCCCAGUGUAGAGGUGAAAUUCGUAGAUAUUGGGUGGAACACCGGUGGCGAAAGCGGCUCUCUGGCCCGGUUCUGACGCUGAGGCGCGAAAGCGUGGGGAGCAAACAGG